UACGUAGGGGGCUAGCGUUGUCCGGAUUUAUUGGGCGUAAAGAGCGUGUAGGCGGCCAGGUAGGUCUGCUGUGAAAACUCGAGGCUCAACCUCGAGACGUCGGCGGAAACCAUCUGGCUAGAGUCCGGAAGAGGAGAGUGGAAUUCCUGGAUGUAGCGGUGAAAUGCGCAGAUAUCAGGAAGAACACCCGUGGCGAAGGCGGCUCUCUGGGACGGUACUGGACGCUGAGACGCGAAAGCGUGGGGAGCGAACAGG
rnacentral:rRNA from 1 species